rnacentral:rRNA from 1 species
AGAGUUUGAUUCUGGCUCAGGACGAACGCUGGCGGCGUGCCUAACACAUGCAAGUCGGACGGAAAAUUGAGCUUCGGUUCAAUUUUUAGUGGCGAACGGGUGAGUAACGCGUAGGUAACCUGCCUUGUAGCGGGGGAUAACUAUUGGAAACGAUAGCUAAUACCGCAUAACAAUGGAUGACACAUGUCAUUUAUUUGAAAGGGGCAAUUGCUCCACUACAAGAUGGACCUGCGUUGUAUUAGCUAGUAGGUGAGGUAACGGCUCACCUAGGCGACGAUACAUAGCCGACCUGAGAGGGUGAUCGGCCACACUGGGACUGAGACACGGCCCAG